ACUUGGAGCAUGUCCCAGCGCCGUCAAAGGGACUUGAAUUUCCCCCGUGAUGGGCCGGGAAUGGGACCCAACGCCCGUCGAGUUCAGAGGCCGCGAGAGCCUGGCUCAGGGCUUGCAAGGGUUGAGCUGGCGUCUCAGACUUAACUCAGUAUUCAUGUGAGUUGCCUGCUGACUCUAUACCCACCCCUUGCCUUUUCGGUGUCAGCGCCUACAUCCGCUCUAUCUCCUGUAUUUCGUCCUGCUUCCCGACUGGCAACCACAUUGCUUGAUUUCCGUGUCUCAUGACUCUCCUGACUGAUUUGUUCGUUGAGUUAAACAUUUACGGAGCUCCUACCGUGCGCCAGCAAUGGUGCUUGGCAAAGCGAAGUAAACAGCUGUCCAAAUGAUAACCGAAGGCGCAUUUCGGUUGAUUGCCAUAGAGUUUCUGACUACACAGAUAGAGGACCUGAAAAAGAGAGAGAGAAAAGGAUAAUUUCAUCUCUUGGUUUCCAAUAAUUAAACUCAUUUUUUCAUUGUCUCUUUGGUUAAAAACUACCAGAACAACAUUGAAUAAUAUGGUGAGAGGGUACACAUUUUACACGGUUGUGUCAGAUUUUUAAAAUGUUCUGAUUUUAUUUUUUCAAGUUUU